AGAACGAACGCUGGCGGCACGCCUAACACAUGCAAGUCGAGCGCCCAGCAAUGGGAGCGGCGGACGGGUGAGUAACACGUGGGAACAUGCCUUUCGGUACGGAACAACUGCGGGAAACUGCAGCUAAUGCCGUAUACGCCCUUACGGGGAAAGAUUUAUCGCCGAAAGAUUGGCCCGCGUCUGAUUAGCUAGUUGGUGAGGUAACGGCUCACCAAGGCUUCGAUCAGUAGCUGGUUUGAGAGAACGACCAGCCACAUUGGGACUGAGACACGGCCCAAACUCCUACGGGAGGCAGCAGUGGGGAAUCUUGGACAAUGGGGGAAACCCUGAUCCAGCGAUGCCGCGUGAGUGAUGAAGGCCUUCGGGUUGUAAAACUCUUUCGACGGGACGAUAAUGACGGUACCCGUAGAAGAAGCUCCGGCUAACUUCGUGCCAGCAGCCGC
rnacentral:rRNA from 1 species